rnacentral:rRNA from 1 species
AAUGCUAAAAGAAUGGAAAUUUAAAAAAAAACUUUUUUAAAAAUAAAAAUUGAAUUUUUUUUAAUUUGUGCAAAAACAAUUAUUAUUAUUAAAGACAAGAAGACCCUAAGAAUUUAUGAUUUUGUAAUUAAAAAAAUUUUUUUUUUUAAAAAAUCUUGAUUGGGGCGAUCAAAAAAUAUUAAUAACUUUUUAAAUUUAACAUUGAUCUAUUAUUAAUAAACUAAUGAAUUAAAUACUCUAGGGAUAACAGCGUA